GACGAACGCUGGCGGCGUGCUUAACACAUGCAAGUCGAACGGUAAGGCCCUUCGGGGUACACGAGUGGCGAACGGGUGAGUAACACGUGGGUGAUCUGCCCUGCACUUCGGGAUAAGCCUGGGAAACUGGGUCUAAUACCGGAUAGGACCACUGCCUGCAUGGGUGGUGGUGGAAAGCUUUUGCGGUGUGGGGUGGGCCCGCGGCCUAUCAGCUUGUUGGUGGGGUGAUGGCCUACCAAGGCGACGACGGGUAGCCGGCCUGAGAGGGUGACCGGCCACACUGGGACUGAGAUACGGCCCAGACUCCUACGGGAGGCAGCAGUGGGGAAUAUUGCACAAUGGGCGCAAGCCUGAUGCAGCGACGCCGCGUGAGGGAUGACGGCCUUCGGGUUGUAUACCUCUUUCAGCACCGACGAAGCGCAAGUGACGGUAGGUGCAGAAGAAGGACCGGCCAACUACGUGCCAGCAGCCGCAGUAA
rnacentral:rRNA from 1 species